GACGAACGCUGSCGGCGUGCCUAAUACAUGCAAGUCGAACGAACUCUGGUAUUGAUUGGUGCUUGCAUCAUGAUUUACAUUUGAGUGAGUGGCGAACUGGUGAGUAACACGUGGGAAACCUGCCCAGAAGCGGGGGAUAACACCUGGAAACAGAUGCUAAUACCGCAUAACAACUUGGACCGCAUGGUCCGAGUUUGAAAGAUGGCUUCGGCUAUCACUUUUGGAUGGUCCCGCGGCGUAUUAGCUAGAUGGUGGGGUAACGGCUCACCAUGGCAAUGAUACGUAGCCGACCUGAGAGGGUAAUCGGCCACAUUGGGACUGAGACACGGCCCAAACUCCUACGGGAGGCAGCAGUAGGGAAUCUUCCACAAUGGACGAAAGUCUGAUGGAGCAACGCCGCGUGAGUGAAGAAGGGUUUCGGCUCGUAAAACUCUGUUGUUAAAGAAGAACAUAUCUGAGAGUAACUGUUCAGGUAUUGACGGUAUUUAACCAGAAAGCCACGGCUAACUACGUGCCAGCAGCCGCGGUAAUACGUAGGUGGCAAGCGUUGUCCGGAUUUAUUGGGCGUAAAGCGAGCGCAGGCGGUUUUUUAAGUCUGAUGUGAAAGCCUUCGGCUCAACCGAAGAAGUGCAUCGGAAACUGGGAAACUUGAGUGCAGAAGAGGACAGUGGAACUCCAUGUGUAGCGGUGAAAUGCGUAGAUAUAUGGAAGAACACCAGUGGCGAAGGCGGCUGUCUGGUCUGUAACUGACGCUGAGGCUCGAAAGUAUGGGUAGCAAACAGGAUUAGAUACCCUGGUAGUCCAUACCGUAAACGAUGAAUGCUAAGUGUUGGAGGGUUUCCGCCCUUCAGUGCUGCAGCUAACGCAUUAAGCAUUCCGCCUGGGGAGUACGGCCGCAAGGCUGAAACUCAAAGGAAUUGACGGGGGCCCGCACAAGCGGUGGAGCAUGUGGUUUAAUUCGAAGCUACGCGAAGAACCUUACCAGGUCUUGACAUACUAUGCAAAUCUAAGAGAUUAGACGUUCCCUUCGGGGACAUGGAUACAGGUGGUGCAUGGUUGUCGUCAGCUCGUGUCGUGAGAUGUUGGGUUAAGUCCCGCAACGAGCGCAACCCUUAUUAUCAGUUGCCAGCAUUAAGUUGGGCACUCUGGUGAGACUGCCGGUGACAAACCGGAGGAAGGUGGGGAUGACGUCAAAUCAUCAUGCCCCUUAUGACCUGGGCUACACACGUGCUACAAUGGAUGGUACAACGAGUUGCGAACUCGCGAGAGUAAGCUAAUCUCUUAAAGCCAUUCUCAGUUCGGAUUGUAGGCUGCAACUCGCCUACAUGAAGUCGGAAUCGCUAGUAAUCGCGGAUCAGCAUGCCGCGGUGAAUACGUUCCCGGGCCUUGUACACACCGCCCGUCACACCAUGAGAGUUUGUAACACCCAAAGUCGGUGGGGUAACCUUUUAGGAACCAGCCGCCUAAGGUGGGACAGAUGAUUAGGGUGAAGUCGUAACAAGGUAGCCGUAGGAGAACCUGCGGUUGGAUCACC
rnacentral:rRNA from 2 species